ACGUAGCCAACCUGCCCUGGAGUGGGGGGAUAACCCGCGGAAACGCGGCUAAGACCGCAUACGGUCCUUAGCUGGUAGAGGCUGAGGAGGAAAAUCUUUGGAUGCUCUGGGAGGGGGCUGCGGCCCAUCAGGUGGUUGGUGCGGUAACGGCGCACCAAGCCGACGACGGGUCGGGGGUCUGAGAGGAUGGCCCCCCACACUGGGACUGAGACACGGCCCAGACUCCUACGGGAGGCAGCAGUGAGGAAUCUUGCACAAUGGGGGCAACCCUGAUGCAGCGACGCCGCGUGGGCGAUGAAGGUCUUCGGAUCGUAAAGCCCUUUUCUGCGUGACGAGGAAGGACGGUAGCGCAGGAAGAAGCGUCGGCUAACUACGUGCCAGCAGCCGCGGUAA
rnacentral:rRNA from 1 species